AACGAACGCUGGCGGCAGGCUUAACACAUGCAAGUCGAGCGCCCCGCAAGGGGAGCGGCAGACGGGUGAGUAACGCGUGGGAACGUACCUUUUGGUUCGGAACAACUCCGGGAAACUGGAGCUAAUACCGGAUAAGCCCUAACGGGGAAAGAUUUAUCGCCGAAAGAUCGGCCCGCGUCUGAUUAGCUAGUUGGUGAGGUAACGGCUCACCAAGGCGACGAUCAGUAGCUGGUCUGAGAGGAUGAUCAGCCACACUGGGACUGAGACACGGCCCAGACUCCUACGGGAGGCAGCAGUGGGGAAUAUUGGACAAUGGGCGCAAGCCUGAUCCAGCCAUGCCGCGUGAGUGAUGAAGGCCUUAGGGUUGUAAAGCUCUCUUGUCCGGGAAGAUAAUGACUGUACCGGAAGAAUAAGCCCCGGCUAACUUCGUG
rnacentral:rRNA from 1 species